UAAACUGUGGUAUCGUUCCCAUAAUGUGCUU
rnacentral:piRNA from 1 species